rnacentral:rRNA from 1 species
GAUGAACGCUGGCGGUGUGCCUAAUACAUGCAAGUCGAGCGAACAGACGAGGAGCUUGCUCCUCUGACGUUAGCGGCGGACGGGUGAGUAACACGUGGAUAACCUACCUAUAUGACUGGGAUAACUUCGGGAAACCGGAGCUAAUACCGGAUAAUAUAUUGAACCGCAUGGUUCAAUAGUGAAAGACGGCUUUGCUGUCACUUUUAGAUGGAUCCGCGCCGCAUUAGCUAGUUGGUAAGGUAACGGCUUACCAAGGCGACGAUGCGUAGCCGACCUGAGAGGGUGAUCGGCCACACUGGAACUGAGACACGGUCCAGACUCCUACGGGAGGCAGCAGUAGGGAAUCUUCCGCAAUGGGCGAAAGCUUGACGGAGCAACGCCGCGUGGGUGAUGAAGGUCUUCGGAUCGUAAAACUCUGUUAUUAGGGAAGAACAAAUGUGUAAGUAACUAUGCACGUCUUGACGGUACCUAAUCAGAAAGCCACGGCUAACUACGUG